rnacentral:misc_RNA from 1 species
AAGAUUUUACCUACUAAUAGUAGUCUUGUGCAAAGUUGUGCUGAGGAUCAAUGGGGGAUUUAAAAAAGAAAGAAAAUCUUUUCCUCAAAUAUUUUCGUUCUCGAAUAAUAAAGAUAGAACUUACAUUGAUACGAAAUUGUUAUGCUUAACUGAGUGAGAGCAGGGUGCUGGUUUUAAUUCCACAAUAGCUUUGGUUCCAGUGUUAUUUUGGAUUGGAUUAACGGUCGUGCCAGGAGCUGGGCAGGCAAGAGACAUUCGGACCACAAAAGGAUUAUAUGUACACGGCAAAACAGGUCCCUGUGUUAAUGGACGAAAAAUGAGGCAGCAUUUCUCAGAAAUUUGUUAUUAACAACAUAAAAGUAAACUUAUUAGAAUAACUUAGCAAAGAUCAGCCCCAUUAUAUAAAGUGAGAUAUACCCAACAUCCCUUGGCAACAUGCUCGCCAAAAUGAAAGCCAGCAUCAGCGAUAAGCCACGGAACAGCAUCGCUGUUCCCGCCAAACGGCCACCCCCAAAGGCGGCCCAGCCCCGGGGGUCUCUGUCCGGAAUGCUGGCCACCAAAAAGUUCUUCAAAAGGUUAUCAAAGAAGCAGCGUGCAGCAUCCACGGUGUCGGUUCCUGUGAAGCAGUAUGAGCCGACCUAUCGCAUGGAACCCAAGGAACAUUACAAUGAGAAGACUGUUUAUUCUAUCGUGAAGGAACUUAUUGACGAGAAAUUAGAGGGAAUGAUUUAUAGCAAAAAAUACUCGGGAAAUCUCACGAAGAUCAUUAGCAACCAGAUCAAAGAGAAAGUGAAAGCGCUUCACUACGACCGCUAUCGGAUUAUUUGUAAUGUGAUGCUGGGUGAGAAUCGUGGGGCCACGGUUCUGGCCACGAGCCGAUGUGCCUGGGAUCCCAAAACGGACGAUUUCACAUCAUACUCGUUUCAGAGUAAACAUCUAUUUUGCAAUGUGUCGGUGUUCGCGGUAUAUAAGGAAUGAAUAGAGGAGUUGUUUAUUUGUAUUCCAAAUUAAAGUUAUUUACAAGGACUAGAGCUUGUGAAAUCCUGCUCAAAGACUUUUUACAUAUUUUACAUGUAGAUUUAUGGAGGGUUCAACGAAGACGCUUUAACAUGUCAUUUUUCUUGAUAACUAUGAUAUUAUAUUUCAUUUAAUUACACUCUUGAUCGUACAUUUGUACGAUCUGUAUUUUAUUCACAAACCAUAUACAUGUAUAUUCAAAUAUGUGAUAUUGAAUAAAUCGUAUUUACGAU